AUAGGUACUAUUAGGUAAUAAACCAAAUAGUUGACUAUAUGUCAACUUUUUGACAUUUUUCAUCAAGAAUCCUCUCAAAUGAAUUUUCUGUGUAAAAAAAAUUAUCAAUAUUAACAAAAUACGACAAAAAUGUAAUUAGAAAUGGCUGAUAAAUCUUGUGAGCAAUGUUCUCCAACCCUCCCCCCUCCAAUAUUAUUGAUGAUGAAGAUAUUAAAGUACAUACGGAAAUUAUUAUUUUAAAUGUAGCACAAGAUGACCAACCCAGAGUUCCCCCCGAAGUCAGCAAUCUGCAGCCAGUUUGAUCUGGUCGAAAUAGUUUUUAUUUGUGUAGCUUUCACGUUCCUCCUCAUUAUUUUAUCGCAAGCCUGCAGAAUUUUAGCGUCAGGAUUCAUCAACUACACCUUUUGAAAUGGAUCCACAAGCGUCCACAGAAAGCACCAAUAGUCCUUGCUGCACCUCAAUAUGUUGCACGUCGAAGAUUGGCUUAGAAGAUAUCGCCUGUAUAGCUGUUGCAGUGAUACUCAUCCUGAUCGUCAUGUCCCAGGCCUACAAAGCGAUCAGCAGGCGGUUCCGUAGACGCAGACGAAGGUGCCAUUGAAGCAAUCCGAAUAACGUAUAAGAAGAAUUCACUAGCAAAUUGGGAUUCAAUAAUGAAUUCUCCACCAAAAGCUUUCAACAUGCGCUUCUAAAGAGGUCUGAGUCUGUCUGUCUACUAUUUAUGUAACACUUGAAUGAUCUUUCGAAAUAUAAUUCUGAACUCGUU